GAUGAACGCUGACAGAAUGCUUAACACAUGCAAGUCGAUUCAAAAGUUCCUUUCGGGGAACGGAGAGAUGGCGGACGGGUGAGUAACGCGUAAGGAACUUGCCUUUUGGCUGCAACAACUGUUGGAAACGACAGCUAAUACCGGAUAUUAUGAGAUUCUGGCAUGGGAAACUUAUGAAAGCUAUAUGCGCCAAAAGAGAGCCUUGCGUUCCAUUAGCUAGUUGGUGGGGUAACGGCCCACCAAGGCGACGAUGGAUAGCCGGCCUGAGAGGGUGAACGGCCACAAGGGGACUGAGACACGGCCCUUACUCAUACGGGAGGCAGCAGUGGGGAAUAUUGGACAAUGGGCCACAAGCCUGAUCCAGCAAUUCUGUGUGCACGAUGAAGGUUUUCGGAUCGUAAAGUGCUUUCAGUUGGGAAGAAGAAAGUGACGGUACCAACAGAAGAAGCGACGGCUAAAUACGUGCCAGCAGCCGCGGUAAUACGUAUGUCGCAAGCGUUAUCCGGAUUUAUUGGGCGUAAAGCGCGUCUAGGCGGAAAAGAAAGUCUGAUGUUAAAACGCGGGGCUCAACUCGGUAUUGCGUUGGAAACUGCUUUUCUAGAGUACUGGAGAGGUGGGCGGAACUACAAGUGUAGAGGUGAAAUUCGUAGAUAUUUGUAGGAAUGCCGAUGGAGAAGUCAGCUCACUGGACAGAUACUGACGCUAAAGCGCGGAAGCGUGGGGAGCAAACAGG
rnacentral:rRNA from 1 species